rnacentral:rRNA from 1 species
AUUGAACGCUGGCGGCAGGCCUAACACAUGCAAGUCGAGCGAGCGGCGGACGGGUGAGUAAUGUAUGGGGACUGCCCGCUAGAGGGGGCUAACUACUGGCAACGGUAGCUAAUACCGCAUACUAUCGGAUAACCCAUAUGGGAUUAGCUAGUAGGUGAGGUAAUGCCUCACCUAGGCGACGAUCCCUAGCUGGUCUGAGAGGAUGAUCAGCACAACUGGGACGAGGACAUGGACCAGACUCAUAGGGAGGCAGCAGUGGGGAAUAUUGCACAAUGGGCGCAAGCCUGAUGCAGCCAGACCGGGUGUAUGAAGAAGGCCCUAAGGUUGUAAAGUACUUUCAGUCGAGAGGCGUUACCGACAGAAGAAGCACCGGCUAACUCCGUGCCAGCAGAGGCGGAAAUAC